UUGACCUCAAAUCAGGUAGGAGUACCCGCUGAACUUAAGCAUAUCAAUAAGCGGAGGAAAAGAAACCAACCGGGAUUGCCUUAGUAACGGCGAGUGAAGCGGCAAAAGCUCAAAUUUGAAAUCUGGCUGUCUUCGACGUCCGAGUUGUAAUUUGAAGAAGGCGACUUUGUAGCUGGUCCUUGUCUAUGUUCCUUGGAACAGGACGUCAUAGAGGGUGAGAAUCCCGUGUGGCGAGGAUC
rnacentral:rRNA from 1 species